rnacentral:lncRNA from 10 species
UUGAUAUAUCCGGGGCUGAAUAAACCCAGUGAAAGCCUUAUAAGAUGUCUUCUGCCUGUUCUAGUUUUGAAAAAUCACAGCCUACCUAUCACAGAGGUUGAGAUGCAGAUUAACUUGAGGUGAUAAAUUUGAAAGUGCUUUGCACAGUGCUUGCCUCAUAGUGGGUGCUCAAAAGAUGGUGCCUCUUUUGUGAUUCAGAUUGUUAUUCUUGGGGCUGGGGGUGGUUAGGUAGGAUGCCAAAGAAGAGAGAGGCUGCAGCAAGGGGAAGGCAGUUUGGGCAGUUGGGACUCCUAGACCACACGGCUUGCCAAUUUCCUGAUUCCUCGAAAUGAAGGCAUGAUUUUGAAACACAGCUGCCUCUUACUCACACAAAAGCAGUUUAUGCACAAGGCUGUGUCUGACUUCCCAUGUAGGUUAUUUGUGUUUCCCAGAAAUGUUGGGAAGGUGUAGGAAGAUGAAGCCUAAUUAAGGGUCUUCCUGUUCCACCACACUUCAUCUCCCUGGCAUGCAAGUGGUUUAGCAGCAAAGCAGGCAGACAAAAAGUCUCUCAGCAAGAAAUAACUUUUAUUAUCCCUCAAUGUAGACAUGCAGGACAGUGGACCAGAAAGGCUAGGAAGCAGUGGAGGGUAGCAGUCUUUUAAAUACUACAUAUCAUUCUUUUAAAGAAUUAUUAAGUGUUUUCAGAAAUUGUAAAUUUUCCACGUAUUCAUUGCCCUCAGUGAAACAAUGCACAGGAAUGUUCUCCUCCGUUCUUCUGCUUCUGCAGUGUAAGCAGUAUUAACAGCCUGGGUUCAAAUCCUCCCACAACCUUCUUUGUGCACAUGCAACCUUCUUUGUAUUCAGGCAUGUAAGACAUCCAUAGGGGAUUUUGCUGUUUGUACUAGAAUGGGAUUGUGAGAUAUAUGUUUCUCUACAGCUUGGCUUUUGCACUUAACAGUGCAUCACAGACCUCCUAGCACAUCAGUAGUUAUAGAUCUGGUACAUUCUUUCAAACCACUACAUGAUACUUCAUAAUAUGAACAAUAUGAAUAUGCCAGGAUUUAUUAAACUGUACAUCUAUCGAUAAGCACUUGGGUUGUUUAGAACAUUGUAGUCAUUCUCAGAGACUUUUUGUCUGCCUGCUUUGCUGCUAAACCACUUGCAUAUCAGGGAGAUGAAGUGUGGUGGAACAGGAAGACCCUUAACUAAUUAUAAUAUGGUAAACAUAUUUACCAGUGUUGGUAAAUAUGGUGGGAAAGAUUGCUGGGUCAAAGGGUUUUAAUUUACUUAUGGAAAAAUUGCUUGGCUGAUAUUCAUAAAUUGCAUUCUGAUUCCCUCAUCCUAUUAUCAAAAAGUUUAUUGUUGAUCAGUUAAGCAGAUUUCAUUUGCCUUCCCAAUAAUCAACGUAUGACCCAUAGUAAAGGACGGUUGUAAAGAGUGGGCAUCCAAGGAUAUGAUCUUCUCUUCAUUGGGAUCCCAGAAAUGGUGGGUUGUAAUUUAUCUAACUGGACUAAUUUCUCCAGAUGCCUUCUUUCACUGACACAAUCCAAUUAUUCUCCUGCCUUUUCUAGCCACGAUCACCUUAGGCUCAACCUUGAGAAACAAAAAGAAAACAAAUUUUGUUGGCAGCAGACAUGUUUUGGUUCUCCCUCAGAUAAAGUUUCCUUUGCAGGACAAUAAAAGGGGAAUUGGAAAGGCUGGAAAAGUAAGGUGAGCACAAGUUAACAGAAGAUGAGGAACAUCAAUCUGCUUUACUAAAGGAAUUACUUUUGCAAAAGUAUUGCUGAAUAGUGCUUUUAAGUAUCAAGGACAUGGUGGGUACAUGGGGGUUCACUGUAAAAUUAUUUCACAUUUGUUUUACAAACUCUUAAGGUGUUAUUUUUUUAUUUGCAUUUUUUUGAGACAGGGUCUUUCACUCUGUCACCCAGGCGGGAGUGUGGUGGUACAAUAAUGGCUCACUGCAGCCUUCACUUUCCUGGCUCAAGCAAUUUUUCCUACCUCAGCCUACUGAGUAGCUGAAAUCACAGCCAUGUGUCACAGCACCCGGCUUAUUUUUUAAUUUUUUAAAAAGAUGUGGUCUCGCUAUGUUUCCCAGGUUGGGCCGAAGCAAGCCUCCCACCUCAGCUUCCCAAAGUCUUGGGAUUACAGGCGUGAGCCACUGUGCCUGGCCCUGUUAAGAUGUUCAUAUGUGGUUUGAUUUAUAAAAAUUCUGCUCACAUGCCACUUUCCAGGCAUAAAAUAUCUGUAUCAAGAUACUUUGCUGUGUGUGAUACUUUAUGCUUUUUAAAGCAAUUUCAUUUCACAAUCCAAUUCUACCCUCACAGCAUCAUAGUAUGACAGGAAUCACUCUUCUCAUUUGACAACAGAGAUAAUUAGGCCUGGAGAGGUAAAUGACUUGUCAAAAGUCACAUACAUAAUUAGCAGCAGAGCUAAGCCUUAAAUUAGGGAUUCCCCAUCCAGCAUUUGUCUCACUUGGGGAAGAUGGGUAGAACAUGAGACCCUAAUUCCAUCUCUCAUUAGGUCUCUGCUUGAGUCUUAUUUGGCCUAACUCAAUUUCUGUUUUACUUCAGGCAUGUAGAUCCAUGCUUCUUUCCAUGGCUAAUAUAACACUGAUUGAGCACCAGUAAUGCACUAGGUGCUCUAGAGACUAUUGAAUUAAAUCUGGUUGCUGCCCUGUAGCUCCUAUUCUGAAUUUGUUGGAGCCCAAUCUAAAAUAGUUAUUGCUCUGCACAGAUAGUACAGGCGUAUAAGAACAUUUCUCCAAUCUAAGCUUGUAUCUCACCAUUUUUCUUUAGGACCCCCAACAGAAUUUCUUCUUAUCAGGCAGGAAUAUCCCACAACUGGUCUCUGAGUAGUCUUAAAAAACAGCCCUUUAUUUUGCCUGACUCACUCUUGAAGAUGAAUGCAUCAGCUUGUUUUCUCUUCCAGAAUAACAUACAGAGGACAGCUUUCUCUUCUGAGGAGUCAGAAGUUCAGUUCGCCCAACAUGGAAUGACUUGAGGUACACUUGAAUGGUCUCUGUGUCCCUAAAUAUCUUCCUCAUCAGCAGAAAUGUCCUCUUUGAAGAUGUGAUUCCUUGACUACUUCCUGCCUCUUCAUGUUGUGUCAGUUACGUGAUCCAUUAACCAGGCUGUAUGUAUAUCCUUUGAAAUGUUUCAAACAUCUUUCCCUUUGCUAACCACUCCCACUUGCCACUGGCUUUGUUAUCUUAAACAGCAAAGUCCCAGCAGAUCUCCCUACUUAGCAUCUUUUCCUCCAGUCUACACUAUAUGCUACUGGCAAAAUUAUAUUUCUAAAACAAAGCUCUGAUUAUAUUAUUCCCCUAGUCAAAAACCAUAGUCGGCUUUCCACUGCCUGUUGCAGUGGUGUUCAAAGUCCAUUUGUUCAUUUGUCUGUUUGUUCUUUGGUUUCAAAUCAGCAGCACCUUUUUUUUCAAGUAAAAAAAAUUAGGUAGUUAAGAUCCCAAAAUGUAAAGCAGAUAAAAGUAGACAUGCCUUAAAAAAUAUGUAGACACACUGUAGUUGAAGUGAGAAGUUGGGGGUGAGAAAGUAGGGAAGCUCUGGGCCCCUUGCUCCUGGCAGAACCCUUGGUCCUCAGGGAACACAGUGUGAAGACCACUGGCCUGCUCAUAAGUUUAAAAUGCCUUUGCUUGCCAUUCAAGACUGCACUAACCUGGCCCUAAACUGCCUCUCCCAUGAGACUUCCAAUUGUCCUUAAAGGAACCCUUUGCUUCAGCCGUUCGUUCUGCUCUCUGUCUUCCCCACACAACUGGGACAUUCUUUACCUUUGCACUGCUAAGCCCCCAAGCCUGAAAUGUCCACUACUGUUCUUGGUUCCUGUCUGACUUGCAUUCACCCUUUGAAAACCAGCUCUAGUUCUACUUACUUUAAGAAAUAUUUGCCGGCUUCCUUGUUCCGCAGGGACUCACUUACUGGAGCUGUAAUGACUUUAUCUUCCAAAAGAACAAAAGAGAAGCAGCCCAGGAAAUAAAUUCCUAUCAACUCUGUUUUUAUGUGCUCCUUCUGGCUAGAGAAGCCUUAUGAUGUUACCACUCUCUGAAGUCCCUCUUCUGUAAAAUUGGGACAAUAAUAGUAGUCAUCUCAGGGAUUAUGCAAGGAUUAAGUUAUAUCAAGCUCCUAGCCCAGGGUUUAGCACUAGUAAAUAGUAUAACUUACUAGUUAUACUAGCAAGUGUAACUGGUAAGUAGUAUAACUAGCAAGUUAUACUACUAACUAGUAUAGUAAGUAGUAUAGUAAGUAGUAUAACUCGCGAGUUAUACUACUAACUAGUAUAGUGACUGGCUUCUUUUUUGUGACUGGCUUCUUUCAUUUAUCAUAAUGUCCUCCAGGUUGAUCCAUGUUGUAGCAUGUGACAGGAUUUCUUCCUUUUCUAUGACUGAAUAAUAUUCCACUGUAUGGAUAUAUCAUACUUUGGUUAUCCAUCCAUCUGUUGAUGGACACUUGGGUUGCUUCCACCUUUUGACUAUUGUGAAUAUGCUGCUAUAAACAUUGGUGUACAAGUAUCUCUUUGAGAUACUGUUUUUGACUCUUUUGAAUAUAUACCCAGAUGUAAAAUUGCUGUAUCAUAUUGUAGUUAUUGUUUUGUUUGCUUGAUGAAUCUCCAUCCAGUUUCUCAUAGUGGCUGCACCAUUUUACAUCCCUACCAGCAAUGCACAAGGGUUCCAAUUUCUCACAUCCUUGCAAACCCUUGUUAUUCUCUGUUUUCUUGUUGAUAAUGGCCAUCCUAUUGGGUGUAAGGUGAUAUCUCAUUGUGGUUAUGAUGUGUAUUUCCCUAAUGAUUAUUGAUGUAGAGCAUCUUCUUUGUGCUUAUUAGUCAUUUGUAUAUCUCUUUGGAGAAAUGCCCAUUCAAAUCCUUCCACCAUUUUUAAAUCAGGUUAUUUGUUGUUGUUGUUGUUGCUGUUGCUGUUGAUUUGUAGAAGUUCUUUAUAUAUUCUGGAU